UCCAGACUCCUACGGGAGGCAGCAGUGAGGAAUAUUGGUCAAUGGGCGCGAGCCUGAACCAGCCAAGUCGCGUGAGGGAAGACGGUCCUAUGGAUUGUAAACCUCUUUUGUCGGGGAGCAAAAGACGCCACGCGUGGCGUUCCGAGAGUACCCGAAGAAAAAGCAUCGGCUAACUCCGUGCCAGCAGCCGCGGUAAUACGUAGGGGGCAAGCGUUAUCCGGAUUUACUGGGUGUAAAGGGAGCGUAGACGGUUAUGUAAGUCUGGAGUGAAAGCCCGGGGCCCAACCCCGGGACUGCUUUGGAAACUGUGUAACUGGAGUACAGGAGGGGCAGGCGGAAUUCCUGGUGUAGCGGUGAAAUGCGUAGAUAUCAGGAGGAACACCGGCGGCGAAGGCGGCCUGCUGGACUGAAACUGACGUUGAGGCUCGAAAGCGUGGGGAGCAAACAGGAUUAGAUACCCCAGUAU
rnacentral:rRNA from 1 species